UGCAGUCGAACGAAGUAGCAAUACUUAGUGGCAGACGGGUGAGUAACAUGUGGGUAUCUACCCUUUGGCCUGGAAUAACACGAGGAAACUUGUGCUAAUACCGGAUAAGUCUUUACGGAGAAAGCUUUAUGCACCAUUGGAUGAGCCCGCACUUGAUUAGUUUGUUGGUAGGGUAAUGGCCUACCAAGACUAUGAUCAAUAGCUGAUUUGAGAGGAUGAUCAGCCACAUUGGGACUGAGACACGGCCCAAACUCCUACGGGAGGCAGCAGUGGGGAAUCUUGCACAAUGGAGGAAACUCUGAUGCAGCGAUGCCGCGUGAGUGAAGAAGGCCUUUGGGUUGUAAAGCUCUUUCGUCGGGGAAGAAAAUGACUGUACCCGAAUAAGAAGGUCCGGCUAACUUCGUGCCAGCAGCCGCGGUAAUACGAAGGGACCUAGCGUAGUUCGGAAUUACUGGGCUUAAAGAGUUCGUAGGUGGUUGAAAAAGUUGGUGGUGAAAUCCCAGAGCUUAACUCUGGAACUGCCAUCAAAACUUUUCAGCUAGAGUAUGAUAGAGGAAAGCAGAAUUUCUAGUGUAGAGGUGAAAUUCGUAGAUAUUAGAAAGAAUACCAAUUG
rnacentral:rRNA from 1 species